GAAUUCGAUUCAUUUAUAAUAUAGUCCUUGGGUACAGUAUAAAAAUUAUAUAUGUAUUUUUGCAAUAUAAUUUCCAUGAAAUUAGGAGGUAAGAUUUUAUUUAUAGUGAAAUUAGACGUAAUAAAGUAAAUAUUAUGAGAUAGGCGCAAGCUCGAGACACAAGUUCUGGCGCAAGCUCUGGCACCUCGAGUUUGCACCUCUCUAAUAUUUUACUAUAGUUAUUAUUUAGUGCUGCUGUGCUUAAAAUAUUUAGCGCAAGCUAAAUCUAAGCCUGAAGUAUGCUACGCUUAAAUUAUUUUAAGUGUAAGCUUUUUAAUAAUAAAAAUGUUUGUUACUUAUAAAGCUUAAUGGCUUAAUCUUGCCUUACUGUUUGAUUAACAACAAAUCUUACAGUCGCGUAAGCGGGGCAUAGGAUCACAAGAUACAAAAAGGAGAGAUCUUGGAUUAUUGGAAAAGCUACGCUAGGGAU
rnacentral:rRNA from 1 species